rnacentral:rRNA from 1 species
AGUGAACGCUGGCGGUAGGCCUAACACAUGCAAGUCGAACGGCAGCACAGGAGAGCUUGCUCUCUGGGUGGCGAGUGGCGGACGGGUGAGGAAUACAUCGGAAUCUACUCUGUCGUGGGGGAUAACGUAGGGAAACUUACGCUAAUACCGCAUACGACCUACGGGUGAAAGCAGGGGACCUUCGGGCCUUGCGCGAUUGAAUGAGCCGAUGUCGGAUUAGCUAGUUGGCGGGGUAAAGGCCCACAAAGGCGACGAUCCGUAGCAGGUCUGAGAGGAUGAUCAGCCACACUGGAACUGAGACACGGUCCAGACUCCUACGGGAGGCAGCAGUGGGGAAUAUUGGACAAUGGGCGCAAGCCUGAUCCAGCCAUACCGCGUGGGUGAAGAAGGCCUUCGGGUUGUAAAGCCCUUUUGUUGGGAAAGAAAUCCAGCUGGCUAAUACCCGGUUGGGAUGACGGUACCCAAAGAAUAAGCACCGGCUAACUUCGUGCCAGCAGCCGCCGUAA